rnacentral:tRNA from 1 species
GAGGCUUUAGCUUAAUUAAAGUGUCUGAGUUGCAUUCGGGAGAUGUACAUUAAAAUUUUACAGGCCUU